rnacentral:rRNA from 1 species
GCAUCUUCUUGUUUUUAAGACCUAGCAAUAGGUAUGCUUAGGGAGGAGCUUGCGUCACAUUAGUUAGUUGGUGGGGUAAAGGCCUACCAAGACUAUGAUGUGUAGCCGGGCUGAGAGGUUGAACGGCCACAUUGGGACUGAGACACGGCCCAAACUCCUACGGGAGGCAGCAGUAGGGAAUUUUCGGCAAUGGAGGAAACUCUGACCGAGCAACGCCGCGUGAACGAUGAAGUAUUUCGGUACGUAAAGUUCUUUUAUUAGGGAAGAAUAAAUGAUGGAAAAAUCAUUCUGACGGUACCUAAUGAAUAAGCCCCGGCUAACUAUGUGCCAGCAGCCGCGGUAAUACAUAGGGGGCAAGCGUUAUCCGGAAUUAUUGGGCGUAAAGGGUGCGUAGGCGGUUAAAUAAGUUUAUGGUCUAAGUGCAAUGCUCAACAUUGUGAUGCUAUAAAAACUGUUUAGCUAGAGUAAGAUAGAGGCAAGUGGAAUUCCAUGUGUAGUGGUAAAAUGCGUAAAUAUAUGGAGGAACACCAGUAGCGAAGGCGGCUUGCUGGGUCUUUACUGACGCUGAGGCACGAAAGCGUGGGGAGCAAACAGGAUUAGAUACCCUGGUAGUCCACGCCGUAAACGAUGAGUACUAAACGUUGGGUAAAACCAGUGUUGAAGUUAACACAUUAAGUACUCCGCCUGAGUAGUACGUACGCAAGUAUGAAACUUAAAGGAAUUGACGGGACUCCGCACAAGCGGUGGAUCAUGUUGUUUAAUUCGAAGGUACCCGAAAAACCUCACCAGGUCUUGACAUGCUUCUGCAAAGCUGUAGAAACACAGUGGAGGUUAUCAGUUGCACAGGUGGUGCAUGGUUGUCGUCAGCUCGUGUCGUGAGAUGUUGGGUUAAGUCCCGCAACGAGCGCAACCCUUAUUGUUAGUUACCAGCACGUAAUGGUGGGGACUUUAGCAAGACUGCCAGUGAUAAAUUGGAGGAAGGUGGGGACGACGUCAAAUCAUCAUGCCCCUUAUGACCUGGCUACAAACGUGAUACAUGGCUGUUACAAAGGGUAGCUGAGCGCAGUUUUGGCGAAUCUCAAAAAACAGUCUCAGUCGAUG